AAUCUAUACCAGAAGUAGCAUCUACAAAUGCGCAUAGCCACUACUUUAUUGUUGGGCUGCAAGUAAGAUAACGAUUUUCAGAGGUGUCUAUAGAUGGUAGCCAAAUUGCAAAAAUGAUAAGAGAGAGAGAGAGACGCACACACAUCGCAAAUAUGCAAAUCUGAGAGAGAGAUUGUACCACUAUAAUGGACGUGGUGUGCUAAAGCCAACUGCUAAUGUUGAAAUUUGGCUAUAUAAUAAGCUUAUGAAGCUCAUGAGAUACUUUCUCGGAGUGCUGAAUUUCCGCCUGAUGUAUUUACUUCCUGCCUAAUAACACCUUUAAAAAGGGCACUCCGAUGGUGACAUAUUUCUCCUAACCCUUCAUCUUAAGAAUUGCCAUAGAUGUUUUCAACUUCACCCCCAGUUUAUAGUUAAUUUCUGUGUCUGUAAAAAUCUACAGAUGUUUGUGGCUAAUACACUUGUAGUUGGUGAUAAGUAGAAUUAACUUUUACCUCUCU